AGGUCACCCAAAAUGGAGAUGGCAUC
rnacentral:piRNA from 1 species